rnacentral:rRNA from 1 species
GUGACUGCGUACCUUUUGUAUAAUGGGUCAGCGACUUAUAUUCUGUAGCAAGGUUAACCGAAUAGGGGAGCCGGAGGGAAACCGAGUCUUAAUUGGGCGUUAAGUUGCAGGGUAUAGACCCGAAACCCGGUGAUCUAGCCAUGGGCAGGUUGAAGGUUGGGUAACACUAACUGGAGGACCGAACCGACUAAUGUUGAAAAAUUAGCGGAUGACCUGUGGCUGGGGGUGAAAGGCCAAUCAAACCGGGAGAUAGCUGGUUCUCCCCGAAAGCUAUUUAGGUAGCGCCUCGUGAAUUCAUCUCCGGGGGUAGAGCACUGUUUCGGCUAGGGGGCCAUCCCGGCUUACCAACCCGAUGCAAACUGCGAAUACCGGAGAAUGUUAUCACGGGAGACACACGGCGGGUGCUAACGUCCGUCGUGAAGAGGGAAACAACCCAGACCGCCAGCUAAGGUCCCAAAGUCAUGGUUAAGUGGGAAACGAUGUGGGAAGGCCCAGACAGCCAGGAUGUUGGCUUAGAAGCAGCCAUCAUUUAAAGAAAGCGUAAUAGCUCACUGGUCGAGUCGGCCUGCGCGGAAGAUGUAACGGGGCUAAACCAUGCACCGAAGCUGCGGCAGCGACACUCAGGUGUUGUUGGGUAGGGGAGCGUUCUGUAAGCCUGUGAAGGUGUGUCGUGAGGCAUGCUGGAGGUAUCAGAAGUGCGAAUGCUGACAUAAGUAACGAUAAAGCGGGUGAAAAGCCCGCUCGCCGGAAGACCAAGGGUUCCUGUCCAACGUUAAUCGGGGCAGGGUGAGUCGACCCCUAAGGCGAGGCCGAAAGGCGUAGUCGAUGGGAAACGGGUUAAUAUUCCCGUACUUGGUGUUACUGCGAAGGGGGGACGGAGAAGGCUAUGUUGGCCGGGCGACGGUUGUCCCGGUUUAAGCGUGUAGGUGUGUGUUCCAGGUAAAUCCGGUUCACUUUAACACUGAGGCGUGACGACGAGGCACUACGGUGCUGAAGCAACAAAUGCCCUGCUUCCAGGAAAAGCCUCUAAGCAUCAGGUAACAUCAAAUCGUACCCCAAACCGACACAGGUGGUCAGGUAGAGAAUACCAAGGCGCUUGAGAGAACUCGGGUGAAGGAACUAGGCAAAAUGGUGCCGUAACUUCGGGAGAAGGCACGCUGACACGUAGGUGAAGUGAUUUACUCAUGGAGCUGAAGUCAGUCGAAGAUACCAGCUGGCUGCAACUGUUUAUUAAAAACACAGCACUGUGCAAACACGAAAGUGGACGUAUACGGUGUGACGCCUGCCCGGUGCCGGAAGGUUAAUUGAUGGGGUCAGCGCAAGCGAAGCUCCUGAUCGAAGCCCCGGUAAACGGCGGCCGUAACUAUAACGGUCCUAAGGUAGCGAAAUUCCUUGUCGGGUAAGUUCCGACCUGCACGAAUGGCGUAAUGAUGGCCAGGCUGUCUCCACCCGAGACUCAGUGAAAUUGAACUCGCUGUGAAGAUGCAGUGUACCCGCGGCAAGACGGAAAGACCCCGUGAACCUUUACUAUAGCUUGACACUGAACAUUGAGCCUUGAUGUGUAGGAUAGGUGGGAGGCUUUGAAGUGUGGACGCCAGUCUGCAUGGAGCCGACCUUGAAAUACCACCCUUUAAUGUUUGAUGUUCUAACGUGGACCCGUAAUCCGGGUUGCGGACAGUGUCUGGUGGGUAGUUUGACUGGGGCGGUCUCCUCCUAAAGAGUAACGGAGGAGCACGAAGGUUGGCUAAUCCUGGUCGGACAUCAGGAGGUUAGUGCAAUGGCAUAAGCCAGCUUGACUGCGAGCGUGACGGCGCGAGCAGGUGCGAAAGCAGGUCAUAGUGAUCCGGUGGUUCUGAAUGGAAGGGCCAUCGCUCAACGGAUAAAAGGUACUCCGGGGAUAACAGGCUGAUACCGCCCAAGAGUUCAUAUCGACGGCGGUGUUUGGCACCUCGAUGUCGGCUCAUCACAUCCUGGGGCUGAAGUAGGUCCCAAGGGUAUGGCUGUUCGCCAUUUAAAGUGGUACGCGAGCUGGGUUUAGAACGUCGUGAGACAGUUCGGUCCCUAUCUGCCGUGGGCGCUGGAGAACUGAGGGGGGCUGCUCCUAGUACGAGAGGACCGGAGUGGACGCAUCACUGGUGUUCGGGUUGUCAUGCCAAUGGCACUGCCCGGUAGCUAAAUGCGGAAGAGAUAAGUGCUGAAAGCAUCUAAGCACGAAACUUGCCCCGAGAUGAGUUCUCCCUGAGACUU